rnacentral:tRNA from 2 species
CUUGUAGCUCAGUUGGAUAGAGUGUUUGGCUACGAACCAAAAGGUCGGGGGUUCGAAUCCCUUCAAGC